ensembl:lncRNA
CCAACGGCCACGCAGAGGAGUGCAAGUAAAGCGUCCUCCCGCUCGACAGCAAAACUGAUGGAGUGCGCGGCCAUCUGGAGGGAGAGACGUGCGUUGAAGAUGCUUCUUCAGGUGCACAGAGGACGCAGGAGACGUGUGUUCUUCUGCCCCGUCGAGGCGGCUGCUGACGCUCCAAGGCAGCAACACGUGGGCGCACUUCGUGUGUUGCUCCCCAUUCAACAACACAACCGGCACAUUCAAAAAAGGGCCUGUGGGCCGCGGAAAGCUCUUCAAGAGGGCUUUCGGGGCAACGCACCGCCCGCCCCUCCGCGGGACAGUCGGGGGGCCUCGAGCUCCAGGUUGCAAGGAGCGGCCAGGUCAAAAAGAGAGAGGACCACCGCGUGCUUCACCGGUGUUUUUGCGCCGACAGCCGCAAGGUUGUCAUGCACUAUGGCGAUACAUCUGCUAAGGCAGGAGCUUCGAACCCGGCUGCUGCCUCACACCGACCCCCUCUGCGACGAGACGG